AACGAACGCUGGCGGCAUGCCUAACACAUGCAAGUCGAACGAGACCUUCGGGUCUAGUGGCGCACGGGUGCGUAACGCGUGGGAACCUGCCCUUAGGUUCGGAAUAACUCCCCGAAAGGGGUGCUAAUACCGGAUAAUGUCUUCGGACCAAAGAUUUAUCGCCUUUGGAUGGGCCCGCGUUGGAUUAGCUAGUUGGUAGGGUAAAAGCCUACCAAGGCGACGAUCCAUAGCUGGUCUGAGAGGAUGAUCAGCCACACUGGGACUGAGACACGGCCCAGACUCCUACGGGAGGCGGGAGGGGGGAAUAUUGAAAAGUGGGCGAAGGCUUGAACCCGCAAUGCCGGGUGAGUGAUGAGGGCUUUGGGGUUGAAAAGCUUUUUCACCGGGGAUGAUAAUGACGGUACCGGAAAAAAAAGCCCCGGCUAACUCCGUG
rnacentral:rRNA from 1 species